GAUGAACGCUAGCUACAGGCUUAACACAUGCAAGUCGAGGGGUAACAAGAGAAAAGCUUGCUUUUCUUGUUGACGACCGGCGCACGGGUGAGUAACGCGUAUCCAACCUGCCUAUAACUAGGGAAUAACCUUGCGAAAGUAAGACUAAUACCCUAUGAUUUCCUUUGAUGACAUCAGAUUAGGAAUAAAGAUUUAUCGGUUAUAGAUGGGGAUGCGUCUGAUUAGCUUGUUAGCGGGGUAACGGCCCACCAAGGCAACGAUCAGUAGGGGUUCUGAGAGAAAGGUCCCCCACAUUGGAACUGAGACACGGUCCAAACUCCUACGGGAGGCAGCAGUGAGGAAUAUUGGUCAAUGGGCGGAAGCCUGAACCAGCCAAGUAGCGUGCAGGAUGACGGCCCUAUGGGUUGUAAACUGCUUUUAUACAGGAAUAAAGUUAGCCACGUGUGGUUAUUUGUAGGUACUGUAUGAAUAAGGACCGGCUAAUUCCGUGCCAGCAGCCGCAGUAA
rnacentral:rRNA from 1 species